rnacentral:rRNA from 1 species
GACGAACGCUGGCGGCGUGCUUAACACAUGCAAGUCGAACGAUGAAGCCGGAGCUUGCUCCGGCGGAUUGGUGGCGAGCGGGUGAGUAACACGUGAGUAACCUGCCCUUGACUCUGGGAUAAGCGUUGGAAACGACGUCUAAUACCGGAUACGAACCGCGACGGCAUCGUCUGCGGUUGGAAAGAAUUUCGGUCAAGGAUGGACUCGCGGCCUAUCAGCUUGUUGGUGAGGUAAUGGCUCACCAAGGCGACGACGGGUAGCCGGCCUGAGAGGGUGACCGGCCACACUGGAACUGAGACACGGUCCAGACUCCUACGGGAGGCAGCAGUGGGGAAUAUUGCACAAUGGGCGAAAGCCUGAUGCAGCAACGCCGCGUGAGGGAUGACGGCCUUCGGGUUGUAAACCUCUUUUAGCAGGGAAGAAGCGAAAGUGACGGUACCUGCAGAAAAAGCACCGGCUAACUACGUGCCAGCCGCCGCUGUAA